AGAGUUUGAUCCUGGCUCAGGAUGAACGCUGGCGGCGUGCCUAACACAUGCAAGUCGAACGAUGAAACCGCCCUCGGGCGGACAUGAAGUGGCGAACGGGUGAGUAACACGUGACCAACCUGCCCCUUGCUCCGGGACAACCUUGGGAAACCGAGGCUAAUACCGGAUACUCCUCGCCCCCCUCCUGGGGGGCCCGGGAAAGCCCAGACGGCAAGGGAUGGGGUCGCGGCCCAUUAGGUAGUAGGCGGGGUAACGGCCCACCUAGCCCGCGAUGGGUAGCCGGGUUGAGAGACCGACCGGCCACAUUGGGACUGAGAUACGGCCCAGACUCCUACGGGAGGCAGCAGUGGGGAAUUUUGCGCAAUGGGGGCAACCCUGACGCAGCAACGCCGCGUGCGGGACGACGGCCUUCGGGUUGUAAACCGCUUUCAGCAGGGAAGAAAUUCGACGGUACCUGCAGAAGAAGCUCCGGCUAACUACGUGCCAGCAGCCGCGGCAAUACGUAGGGAGCGAGCGUUAUCCGGAUUCAUUGGGCGUAAAGAGCGCGUAGGCGGCCUCUCAAGCGGGAUCUCUAAUCCGAGGGCUCAACCCCCGGCCGGAUCCCGAACUGGGAGGCUCGAGUUCGGUAGAGGCAGGCGGAAUUCCCGGUGUAGCGGUGGAAUGCGCAGAUAUCGGGAAGAACACCGAUGGCGAAGGCAGCCUGCUGGGCCGCAACUGACGCUGAGGCGCGAAAGCUAGGGGAGCGAACAGGAUUAGAUACCCUGGUAGUCCUAGCCGUAAACGAUGGAUACUAGGUGUGGGGGGCUCCGCCCUCCGUGCCGCAGCCAACGCAUUAAGUAUCCCGCCUGGGGAGUACGGCCGCAAGGCUAAAACUCAAAGGAAUUGACGGGGGCCCGCACAAGCAGCGGAGCAUGUGGCUUAAUUCGAAGCAACGCGAA
rnacentral:rRNA from 1 species